GUCAUAGUUACUCCCGCCGUUUACCCGCGCUUGCUUGAAUUUCUUCACGUCGACAUUCAGAGCACUGGGCAGAAAUCACAUUGCGUCAACACCCGCUGAGGCCAUCGCAAUGCUUUGUUUUAAUUAGACAGUCGGAUUCAGAAUUACCAACUUAAUUUUAUGCCGGUAUAAUACAGUUUUAUCAUAAAACAAUACAAAGAGUAAUUGCGAUAUGUCUAUCUCUUUAAUCUGUUUGUUGCUCUGUGAUUUGUUUGUACUUUUGUAUCAGUGGUACAUAAUCUUAAACAACUUUUUCUAUGGUCCAGUUUGAAAAAACCGGUAGUAGGUAACACGUGCGUAAGUUUGGUUAUAUAGGUUAUGUUUAAAGCUGACUUAUACGGAAAAGAGGUAAACACAAAAGGAAAAGACGAAGGUAAAACUGAAGACGAAUGCCAAAACGAAAUUCCUGCCCAAGGGAAAUGAUGUGACCGAUACAAGUUUUAAAGUGGACACGAUUCUACUGUCUGAGUUGUCAAAGUCUAAGAACAAAGACAUUCUCUCAAGUAAAAAAAGUUUUAUUAUAAAAGACUUGGGUGUUCGAUUGAGACACUAUAAUUACAUCGUCUGACACAGUGCAUACAAAGAAGAAGCUGACAUGCAGAAGCAUUUUCUUGAUAAGAUUAUUUUAAAUCACUUAUGUAUUUUGAUAAAGAAAGUGAUGAUAUUAAUUCAAGAUAGGUGGAAUAGUCUGGAGUUCCAGCUGUAGUAGCAAUCGACAAGCUUGUGGAAUAUGUAUGAAGCAAAAAUGAAGAUGCAUCAACAAAUCACAGUCACAUUCAAUAUUUCUUAGAAGCAGUCCUGUUUAUUGAGUGAAUCAUAACCAAGAUAUUGGAGGAUUGAUUGACUGAUAUAAAUCAUUACACCAUUUACUUUUAGUGCAGUCUUCAUGAUAAUUAAGACUUCAGCUAAUGAAAUUUGAAUCACAAUGAACAUUGUAUGAAGGAUUUUCCAGAAGCAAUCAUUUUAUGCAGUUUUGAAAUUUAUGGAACCAAUAUCAAAUUUAAUGUUGGGGUAUGUUUACUUAUAUUUUUUUAAAAGAAAAAUUAUGUAUUUGUCCUCAAUAAUUAACAAUUUCUUUGUAAUCAAUGGAGUUAUAUUAAUUUAAUGAGGAGAAUGUUAAAAAAUUAUAUUAAAUUACUUGAAAAAGAAAUGAAAUUAGGUUUCACAAAAUAUCUCUGCCUGUGUAGACUUAAAAUUUAGUUCACUAAUGACAGUGUUUAUCCAGUACAAUGUUUAAUAAUAAACAAUAUAAAUGUACACAGGUUGAUCCAAGUGAUUCAUAAGAAGUUUGUAGAUAAUUAAAGGAAAUAUCAGCCAGAAGUUUUAGUUGCAACAUUAUUCUCAAUAUGUUGCACUUUGCACAAUUUGAGACUAUGAUAAUCACCAUAAUUAAGACAAAAGUAUAUUAAAGAAAGUGUAUUAUUAAGAAAGAAGAUUUAAUUAGAAUUUUUGAUAUUUGGAUCAUUUUCCGGAAAGGGCUCAUCAAGACCGAUUUUCUUCAGCUACAAGAGGAUUAUCAUAGAUAUUUAACAUGUUUUAAUUUCCAUAAAAAUGCUAAUAUCACACGGAAUAGUACAUCGGAUAUAGGACAAUUUAAAAUUAUGUAACAUACGAAAUGGUUCUACAAUUGUAUACAUAUUAUGUAUAUGCUAAGAUUUAUCAUUCUGUUGUGUUAAUUUUAUUAUACUUCAGAUCAAUUUUGUUACCAUUGUCAAAAAUAAGGUUUAUAACCUGCUGCUCCUUGAACAUUGGGGUUGUUAAUUUGACA